GACGAACGCUGGCGGCGUGCUUAACACAUGCAAGUCGAACGGAAAGGCCCUGCUUUUGUGGGGUGCUCGAGUGGCGAACGGGUGAGUAACACGUGAGUAACCUGCCCUUGACUUUGGGAUAACUUCAGGAAACUGGGGCUAAUACCGGAUAGGAGCUCCUGCUGCAUGGUGGGGGUUGGAAAGUUUCGGCGGUUGGGGAUGGACUCGCGGCUUAUCAGCUUGUUGGUGGGGUAGUGGCUUACCAAGGCUCUGACGGGUAGCCGGCCUGAGAGGGUGACCGGCCACAUUGGGACUGAGAUGAGGCCCAGACUCCUACGGGAGGCAGCAGUGGGGACUAUUGCACAAUGGGCGGAAGCCUGAUGCAGCAACGCCGCAUGCGGGAUGACGGCCUUCGGGUUGUAAACCGCUUUCGCCUGUGACGAAGCGUGAGUGACGGUAAUGGGUAAAGAAGCACCGGCUAACUACGUG
rnacentral:rRNA from 1 species